rnacentral:rRNA from 1 species
UACGGAGGGUGCAAGCGUUGUCCGGAAUUAUUGGGCGUAAAGGGCUCGUAGGCGGUCCAUCACGUCGGGAGUGAAAAGCUGGGGCUUAACCCCAGUCCUGCUUCCGAUACGGGUGGACUAGAGGUAGGCAGGGGAGAACGGAAUUCCUGGUGUAGCGGUGAAAUGCGCAGAUAUCAGGGGGAACACCGGUGGCGAAGGCGGUUCUCUGGGCCUGUACUGACGCUGAGGAGCGAAAGCGUGGGGAGCGAACAGG